rnacentral:rRNA from 1 species
UAAAAGGUCCUGCCUGCCCAGUGAAAUAAACGGCCGCGGUAUCCUAACCGUGCAAAGGUAGCGUAAUCACUUGUCUCCUAAAUAGAGACUCGUAUGAACGGCUAAAUGAAGAUAAUACUGUCUCCUUUAACUUACCAGUGAAACUGAUCUUCAAGUACAAAAGCUUGAAUAAAAACACAAGACGAGAAGACCCUGUGGAGCUUUAAACACCCAUAUUAUUUUAAUAUAAGUGUUUUAAGUUGGGGCGACUUCGGAGAAAACCAAAACCUCCGAGCAUAGGACCAAAAAUCCAAAGGCCUACAAGCCAAUAAACUCCAGUACACCUGAUUAACGAACCAAGUUACCCCAGGGAUAACAGCGCCAUCUUCUUUGAGAGUUCACAUCGACAAGAAGGUUUACGACCUCGAUGUUGGAUCAGGACACCCAAAUGGUGCAGCAGCCAUUAAAGGUCGUGUCA